AGUGAACGCUGGCGGCAGGCCUAACACAUGCAAGUCGAGCGGCAGCGGGUCCCCGCGAGGGGAUGCCGGCGAGCGGCGGACGGGUGAGGAACACAUCGGAAUCUGCCUGGUUGUGGGGGAUAACGUAGGGAAACUUACGCUAAUACCGCAUGCGACCCUGAGUCGACGGACUGGGGGUGAAAGUGAGGGACCUUCGGGCCUCACGCGACCAGAUGAGCCGAUGUCGAUUAGCUAGUUGGCGGGGUAACGGCCCGCCAAGGCGACGAUCCGUAGCUGGUCUGAGAGGAUGAUCAGCCACACUGGGACUGAGACACGGCCCAGACUCCUACGGGA
rnacentral:rRNA from 1 species